UACGGGGGGGGCAAGCGUUGUUCGGAAUUACUGGGCGUACAGGGCUCGUAGGCGGCCACCUACGUCGGAUGUGAAAUCCCCAGGCUUAACCUGGGAACUGCAUCCGAUACUGGAUGGCUUGAAUCCGGGAGAGGGAUGCAGAAUUCCAGGUGUAGCGGUGAAAUGCGUAGAUAUCUGGAAGAACACCGGUGGCGAAGGCGGCCUGCUGGGCAGUAGCUGACACUGAGGCGCGACAGCGUGGGGAGCAAACAGG
rnacentral:rRNA from 1 species